rnacentral:tRNA from 1 species
GCGGCCGUAGUCUAGCCUGGUCUAGGAUGGCGGCCUUCCGAGCCGCAGAACCCGGGUUCGAAUCCCGGCGGCCGCA